rnacentral:rRNA from 1 species
GAUGAACGCUGGCGGCGUGCCUAAUACAUGCAAGUCGAGCGAACAGACGAGGAGCUUGCUCCUCUGACGUUAGCGGCGGACGGGUGAGUAACACGUGGAUAACCUACCUAUAAGACUGGGAUAACUUCGGGAAACCGGAGCUAAUACCGGAUAAUAUAUUGAACCGCAUGGUUCAAUAGUGAAAGACGGUUUUGCUGUCACUUAUAGAUGGAUCCGCGCCGCAUUAGCUGGUUGGCAAGGUAACGGCUUACCAAGGCAACGAUGCGUAGCCGACCUGAGAGGGAGAUCGGCCACCCUGUCGCUGAGACACGGUCCCGACUCCUACAGGAGGCAGCAGUAGGGAAUCUUCCGCAAUGGGCGAAAGCCUAACGGAGCACCGCCGCGUGAGUGAUGAAGGUCUUCGGAUCGUAGAACUCUGUUAUUAGGGAAGAACAAAUGUGUAAGUAACUAUGCACGUCUUGACGGUACCUAAUCAGAAAGCCACGGCUAACUACGUG